AUGGCCUGGGCUCAUGUUCUGUUCACAUUCCUCAUUCACUGCACAGGSUCUUGGGCCCAGUUUGAAUUGACUCAGCCUCACUCUGUGUCGGCAUCUCCAGGGAAGACAAUCACCAUCUCCUGUACACGCAGCAGUGACAAUAUUGGGAGUUACUAUGUGCACUGGUACCAACAGCGUCAGGGCAGUGCUCCCAGCACUGUGAUCUAUGAAGAUGAUCUAAGACCCUCUGGGGUCCCUGAUCGGUUCUCAGGAUCCAUUGACAGUUCCUCCAACACAGCCUCCCUGUCUAUCUCUGGUCUGCAGAUUGAGGAUGAGGCUGACUACUACUGUCAGUCUUAUGAUAGCAACGAUAAUCACACAGUGCUCCAGACACAUGGGGAAAUGAGACAAAAAAUCCCCAGAGUGUCCUCAGCCUGA